rnacentral:rRNA from 2 species
GGAAAAGAAAAUAACAAUGAUUUCCCUAGUAACGGCGAGUGAAGAGGGAAGAGCUCAAAGUUGGAACCUGUUUGGCCUAGCUAAACCGGAUUGUAGACUGUAGAAGUGUUUUCCAGGCAAGCCGAGUAAAUAAGUCCUUUGGAACAGGGCAUCAUAGAGGGUGAGAAUCCCGUCUUUGGCUUGAGCAUUUGCCUUUUGUGAUACGCUUUCAAAGAGUCAGGUUGUUUGGGAAUGCAGCCUAAAUUGGGUGGUAAAUCUCACCUAAAGCUAAAUAUUGGCGAGAAACCGAUAGCGAACAAGUACCGUGAGGGAAAGAUGAAAAGAACUUUGAAAAGAGAGUUAAACAGUAUGUGAAAUUGUUAAAAGGGAACCGUUUGGAGCCAGACUGGCUUGUCUGUAAUCAAUCUAGGCUUCGGCCUGGAUGCACUUGCAGGCUAUGCCUGCCAACGACAAUUUGACUUGAGGGAAAAAACUAAGGGAAAUGUGGCCCACUUGUGGGUGUUAUAGUCCCUUAGAAAAUACCUUGGGUUGGAUUGAGGAACGCAGCGAAUGCUUUUUGGCGAGUUUUCCAGGAAGGUUUUCUGAGGUACUACGGUAUCAAGGUUGAUCUUUUUGGUUAUACUUCUAUUCGCUUAGGUUGUUGGCUUAAUGACUCUAAAUGACCC